GUUCCAUUCAUUUCCGUAGGCAUUGCCACCUCCGCCUUCCCUCCUCUCUUUUCCUUCGUCUUCUCCAUUUGACACAGAGUAACUCUUCCUUUCUCUGAAAGGAUUUUAGGGUUUUAUAGGCUUUGGGAGGAGAUUGAAGGGGCUGUCACACACGUACGUCGGAUAUGGGGACUUGCCGGAGGCAGUUGAAGGCCAUGCUUCGCAAGAAUUGGCUUCUUAAAAUUCGUCACCCUUUUGUUACAGCUGCUGAGAUUCUGCUUCCUACUAUUGUAAUGUUACUGUUAAUAGCUAUAAGGACACGAGUUGAUACCCGAAUUCAUCCUGCACAGCCGUAUAUUCGAGAAGAUAUGUUUGUGGAAGUGGGGAAAGGAAUUUCCCCUAAUUUCCAACUAGUUCUGGAAUCAUUGUUGGCAGAGGAGGAGUUUUUGGCUUUUGCACCAGAUACAGAAGAAACAAGGAUGAUGAUCCACUUCCUGUCGAUGAAGUUUCCUUUAAUUAGGGAAGUUUCUAGAGUCUACAAAGAUGAAGUUGAGUUGGAAACCUAUAUAUGCUCAGAUCUUUAUGGUGCCUGCAAUGGAGUCAAGAAUUGUUCAAAUCCCAAAAUCAAAGGAGCUGUUAUAUUUCAUGAUCAAGGUCCUCAGUUAUUUGAUUAUAGCAUACGUCUUAAUCACACGUGGGCUUUCUCAGGGUUUCCUGAUGUUAAAACCAUCAUGGACGUAAAUGGUCCUUACCUAAAUGACUUGGAAUUGGGUGUUAGUCGCAUACCAACAAUGCAAUACAGCUUCAGCGGAUUUUUCACUCUACAGCAGGUAGUGGAUUCAUUCAUAAUAUUUUCUGCUCAGCAAACUGGGACUAAGGCAGCAGGUGGACAUAUAGAGCUGCCAUCAUCCAAUUCGUCUAUCUCUUCGUUGCUCAAAGUGCCGUGGAUGCAAUAUAGCCCUUCGAAAAUUAGAAUUGCUCCCUUUCCAACUCGUGAAUACACCGACGAUGAAUUCCAAUCAAUUGUCAAGACUGUCAUGGGAGUACUCUACCUGUUGGGAUUUCUCUACCCGAUCUCUCGCCUUAUCAGCUAUUCAGUGUUCGAGAAGGAACAGAAGAUAAGAGAAGGUCUCUACAUGAUGGGCUUGAAAGAUGGAAUAUUUCAUCUCUCUUGGUUUAUUGCAUAUGCUUUACAGUUUGCAAUUUCAUCUGGGAUUAUUACAGGUUGCACCAUGAAUAACCUUUUCCAGUAUAGCGAUAAGUCGGUGGUGUUUGUGUAUUUUUUCUCCUUUGGACUCAGUGCAAUUAUGCUGUCAUUUUUGAUCUCUACAUUCUUCACUCGAGCAAAAACAGCUGUUGCAGUUGGAACCCUUUCUUUUCUUGGCGCCUUCUUUCCCUAUUAUACUGUGAAUGAUGAGGCUGUCCCUAUGAUACUGAAGGUCCUUGCUUCUUUGCUUUCACCUACGGCUUUUGCUCUAGGAUCGAUCAACUUUGCUGAUUAUGAGCGUGCUCAUGUUGGGCUUCGUUGGAGCAACAUAUGGCGAGGGUCAUCUGGAGUAAAUUUUUUGGUCUGUCUCUUGAUGAUGUGGCUUGACACGCUGCUAUAUUGUGCUGUUGGUCUAUACCUUGACAAGGUUAUUCCGAGGGAAAAUGGAGUGCGUUACCCUUGGAACUUCUUAUUCAAGAAUUGCUUCUGGAGAAAGAAAAGUAUGAUCAAACAUCAUGUCCCAAGUUUGGAAGUUAAACUUAACGGCAAGCUUUCUAACUUGGGAAAUGACACUGUUGAACCUGCUGUUGAGUCAAUAAGCUUGGAUAUGAAACAACAAGAACUUGACAACAGAUGCAUCCAAAUAAGGAACCUGCAUAAGGUGUAUGCUACUAAAGGUGGGAGUUGUGCUGCUGUUAAUUCACUGCAUCUCACCUUGUAUGAAAAUCAGAUUCUUGCUCUUCUUGGACACAACGGAGCGGGCAAAAGCACAACUAUUUCAAUGCUUGUUGGUCUUCUUCCUCCUACUUCAGGGGAUGCGUUGCUGUUUGGAAAGAAUAUUCUGACAGACAUGGAUGAGAUACGGAAUGGACUUGGUGUGUGCCCCCAGCAUGAUAUUCUUUUCCCAGAACUGACUGUGAGGGAGCAUUUGGAAAUGUUUGCUACGCUGAAGGGUGUAAAGGAAGAGAUUCUGGAGACCAGUGUAACUGAUAUGGUUGAUGAAGUGGGUUUGGCUGACAAAGUGAACACUGUUGUGAGGGCUCUUUCGGGUGGCAUGAAAAGGAAAUUAUCUCUUGGAAUUGCCCUGAUAGGAGACAGUAAGGUUAUAAUUCUUGAUGAACCUACCAGUGGAAUGGAUCCAUAUUCGAUGCGAUUGACAUGGCAAUUAAUCAAAAAAAUAAAAAAGGGCAGGAUAAUUUUGCUAACAACCCACUCAAUGGAUGAAGCUGAUGAACUAGGAGAUCGGAUAGCUAUCAUGGCUAAUGGUUCUUUGAAAUGCUGUGGAAGCUCUCUCUUCUUGAAGCAUCAGUAUGGGGUUGGUUAUACUCUUACUUUAGUGAAGUCUGCACCUACUGCCUCUGCAGCUGCUGAUAUUGUUUACCGCCAUAUUCCAUCAGCAAUAUGUGUGAGUGAGGUUGGAACUGAGAUUUCCUUUAAGCUUCCUUUGGCAUCUUCCUUGUCCUUUGAGAGCAUGUUCAGGGAAAUUGAAAGUUGCAUGAGAGUCUCGAAGUCAAAAAUAAGUAGCAGUGAGGACAAAAAUUAUCUUGGCAUUGAGAGUUAUGGAAUCUCAGUCACGACUCUGGAGGAGGUAUUUCUGAGAGUUGCAGGAUGCGACUAUGAUGGGACUGAUGGUUUCGAGCAGAGGAGUAAUAUUCUUUCAUCUGGUUCUGUGGUUCCUACAGCUUCUCACAAUCAUGGCUCGAAAAGAGUUUUUGGUUCCAAACUCCUAGGAAAUUAUAGAAAGUUUAUCGGGUUCAUUUCUGCAUUAGUGGGGAAAGCAUGUGGUUUAAUGGUUGCGACAGUUUUAAGUUUCAUUAAUUUUAUAGGCAUGCAGUGCUGUAGCUGUUGUAUCAUUUCAAGAUCAACAUUUUGUCAACAUACCAAGGCAUUAUUUAUAAAGAGGGCAAUAUCUGCUAGGAGAGACCGGAAAACAAUUGUUUUCCAGCUUCUAAUUCCUGCUGUAUUCUUGCUUUUUGGUCUUCUUUUUCUCAAAAUUAAGCCACAUCCAGAUCAGCAAUCUGUUAGCUUGACAACUUCACAUUUUAAUCCUCUCUUAAGUGGAGGUGGUGGUGGUGGUCCCAUUCCUUUUGAUCUGUCCCAGCCUAUUGCAAGAGAGGUUGUAAAAUACAUUAAAGGUGGUUGGAUUCAAAGCUUUGAAAAGAGUGUGUAUAAAUUCCCUGAUUCAGAGGGGGCAUUAGCUAAUGCCAUCAAAGCUGCGGGGCCAACUUUGGGACCUGUUUUACUUUCAAUGAGUGAAUUCUUAAUGUCUAGCUUUAAUGAAUCUUACCAGUCGAGGUAUGGAGCAGUUGUGAUGGAUGAUCAGAAUGAUGAUGGAAGUUUGGGAUAUACUGUACUGCAUAAUAGUUCUUGUCAGCAUGCUGCUCCAACUUAUAUCAAUGUAAUGAAUGCAGCAAUUCUUAGGCUUGCUACUGGUGACAAAAAUAUGACAAUUAGAACUCGCAAUCACCCUUUGCCAAUGACAAAGAGCCAGCACUUGCAACGACAUGACUUGGAUGCCUUCUCUGCUGCUGUUAUUAUUAAUAUCGCCUUCUCAUUUAUUCCUGCUUCAUUUGCUGUUGCCAUUGUGAAGGAACGUGAAGUGAAGGCCAAGCACCAACAGUUGAUUAGUGGGGUUUCUGUACUUUCAUAUUGGGCUUCUACAUAUAUUUGGGACUUCAUCAGCUUCUUAUUUCCUUCAUUUCUCGCAAUAGUUCUUUUCUACAUCUUUGGUUUGGAUCAGUUUAUUGGAAGGGAUUGUUUCUUUCCAACACUUCUGAUAUUUUUGGAGUAUGGACUAGCAAUUGCAUCUUCAACAUACUGCCUUACAUUCUUGUUUUCUGAUCACACCAUGGCUCAGAAUGUGGUUCUUUUGGUCCACUUCUUCACCGGACUGGUUCUUAUGGUUAUCUCAUUCAUAAUGGGGCUUAUAGAGACAACAAGAAGUGCAAAUAACUUUCUCAAGAAUAUCUUCAGAAUAUCACCUGGGUUUUGCUUCGCUGAUGGACUUGCUUCACUGGCCCUUCUACGACAAGGGAUGAAAGAUAAAUCUAGUGACACAGUUUUUGAUUGGAAUGUUACUGGUGCCUCCAUUUGUUACCUUGGCAUUGAGAGCAUUAUUUACUUUCUCUUGACAAUUGGGCUUGAACUGUUGCCUUCUCACAAGUUAACUCCAGUUACAAUCAAGCAAUGUUGGAGGAAUUUUAAAAAUUUCUGGCAUGGUUCUUCAGGAUUUUCUGAACCUCUUCUAAAAUUUCCGUCAGAAGUUGUUGGUGUUGACUUUGAGGAAGAUAUAGAUGUGCAAACAGAAAGAAACAGAGUACUAUCAGGAUCUGUUGACAAUGCCAUCCUUUACUUACGCAAUCUUCAGAAGGUAUAUCCUGGAGGAAAAUAUGGCAUGAAAGUUGCUGUGCAUUCAUUGACUUUCUCAGUUCAACCAGGAGAAUGUUUUGGAUUUUUAGGAACAAAUGGAGCUGGGAAGACUACAACUCUGUCGAUGUUAUCUGGUCUGCAACAAUUCUUGACCAUGAUAUUAUGAUUGCAUGCAUGAAGCAAUUGAAUGUUCUAGUCUAUAUUUUCCUACAUAUGCUAUAACACAUUGGUGAAUUCACUUGGUUAAUUUAUUGGAGGAGCUCACUUACACAAUAAAAUGUCAGUGAUAAUUGAUUGUGUUACAGAAACCAUGCUAUAUCAAUUUGAUUAUAAAAAAUUUUUAAAUGAGGUUGAUUCUGGUCUUCCUUUUAAAAUUAUUUCAGGAGAAGAAUCUCCAACUGAUGGAACUGCCUUUAUUUUUGGCAAAGAUAUACGUUCAAAUCCCAAGGCUGUUCGUCGGCAUAUUGGAUAUUGCCCCCAAUUUGAUGCUUUAUUGGAAUUCUUAACUGUCAGAGAGCAUCUUGAGCUUUAUGCAAGAAUAAAAGGAGUUGCAGAUUACAGGAUGGAAGAUAUUGUCAUAGAAAAGAUGGUGGAGUUUGACCUGUUGAGGCAUGCUGAUAAACCAUCUUUCGCCCUUAGUGGGGGAAACAAGCGCAAAUUAUCUGUUGCAAUUGCAAUGAUCGGAGAUCCUCCAAUAGUAAUUCUUGAUGAGCCAUCAACAGGUAUGGAUCCUAUUGCCAAACGAUUCAUGUGGGAAGUGAUAUCCCGUCUAUCCACUAGACAAGGAAAGACGGCUGUAAUUCUUACAACCCACAGCAUGAAUGAAGCUCAGGCACUGUGCACACGUAUUGGAAUAAUGGUUGGAGGCAGAUUAAGAUGCAUUGGAAGUCCCCAGCAUCUGAAAACACGAUUUGGGAAUCACCUUGAGCUAGAGGUUAAACCCUCUGAGGUUAGCUCAGUGGACUUGGAAAAUCUUUGCCAAAUUAUUCAAGAAAGGCUUCUGAACAUUCCUUCACAUCCAAGAAGCUUACUUGACGACAUUGAAGUUUGCAUUGGAGCAGUUGACUGCAUCACAUCUGAAAAUGCUUCAGUGGCAGAGAUCAGCUUGUCCCAAGAAAUAAUAAUGUUGAUUGGACGCUGGCUUGGCAAUGAAGAAAGAGCGCACACACUUUUAUCAACGCCAGUUUCUGAUGGGGUUUUUGGUGAACAGUUAGCAGAGCAGUUGGUUCGAGAUGGUGGGAUACCACUACCAAUAUUUUCUGAGUGGUGGUUAGCCAAAGAAAAGUUUUCAGCUAUUGAUUCAUUUGUGCUGUCUUCAUUUCCUGGUGCUACAGUUCAAGCGUGCAAUGGUUUGAGUGUUAAAUAUCAGCUGCCAUACAGAGACGGGCUCUCGCUUGCAGAUGUUUUUGGACACCUGGAGCAAAAUAGAAAUCAACUGGGCAUAGCAGAAUACAGUAUCAGCCAGGCAACUCUCGAAACCAUCUUUAAUCAUUUUGCAGCAAGUUUGUGAGUAAACAUUAGUUCUCUGAACACCGUUGUUUACCACUCUUUCCUUUUGUUACCUUGGAGGGAUCAUAGGAGAUGCUUCUGCCUACUGUAAUGGAAAGAAAGAAAGAAAAAAAUUUCAUCUGUAACUGUGAAUAUACAUCGAAGCAUAAUUAAAAAAAAAAUGUAGGAAUGCUUCUGGGGAAUUUCCCUUCCCCUCACACAUGAUGAUUACCAACCUUGUCUCCUUGGCCAUACAUGUGCUCUUUCACUUUAUAAAAGAAAAUUUUGAAUUCACUGGCAAGCUUAUUCUUAACAAAAUUACUGUGAAAAGUAUAUAGCAUGUACAGUAGAUAAAAGUUUCUAUAUGUAUAUAUAAAUUUUGAGUCAGGUUUAUUCGAGUCGAGUUUGUCACAGGUUAUGUUUCAAUUUGUACUAAAGCUUUCUCUACAUUAAAAGAGUACUUAUUGGAGAAGUUUAAUUUAGC
rnacentral:misc_RNA from 1 species